CACCUGCAAUCAUAACAUCGGCAUUCUCCUUAUUGUCCUGACUCAUUUUGUUCAACUGCUUUCCUGACUCCUGCCUAGCCCCUCCCCUCAGAAUCAGAGGCAGCUGUGCAGUUGCUAAGCCGUGGAGGGACAUCUUCUCCGGAGCUGCAGGCUGGCAGGUAAAGGUGAGACGGGGAGAAUGAAGCAGAAAACCAUUCUGAGGCUUUUGCCUCAGAGGCUUUUGCCAGUGAGUUCUCAGUAAGAUUUCAGCAUGCCUUCCCGAGAACAUGGCUUCCUGGGAACACGCCUUCAUAGAUGACUGCCUUACUGAGUGAGGGAAGUGGGGCAGAGGGCAUGGCUGGCCCAGAAAACAAAUACCUGGAAAAAAGAAUCUCUUCUCCCCAGGCAGAGAGGUAGCAGACAUUUUCCUCUGCCUGGUGUCCAGAUGGAUAGGAACGACAGUCUGGCGCUUUGACUCAGAGUGACUAUGUUCAUUCUCAGGACCAUGGAAUUAGAUGCUCCUUGCUGAAUCCUGGAUGCCAGAUUCAGAGGAAAUACAGAAAAGCACAAAGAAGAAAAUGAAAAAUAUGUAACACCACCUUCUGGAGAUAACCAGACUUGAGUCAUUGGUCUAUGGAAACUUAUAUUUCCCAGUUCCCCUUGGGAUUAGAUGAGGCCAUGGAGCUGGUUCUGGACAGAAAUGUGAGUGGAAGUGAAGUUUGUUACCUCUAAAUGAUAUAGACAGAAAAAAACAACAACAUACCUUUGAGAUUUUCCCAUCUUUGUUUUGCCAUGAAGACCAUGGAGACCUUGUUUUGGGAUGGUGAAGACGCAAGAGGAAGCAUCCUCGAUCCCUGAGUCACAGCACAGAGGGAUUACCUGGAGAGAUACCCAACCUACAGAUGAUCCUGGGUGAAAGAGAAAUAAACCAAUAGGGGUUAAUCUUCCA